rnacentral:rRNA from 1 species
UUGGAGUGCGGGAGAGGUGAGUGGAANNNNNNNUGUAGCGGUGAAAUGCGUAGAUAUCAGGAGGAACACCGGUGGUGUAGACGGCUCACUGGACCGUAACUGACGCUGAGACACGAAAGCGUGGGUAGCAAACAGGAUUAGAUACCCUGGUAGUCCACGCCCUAAACGAUGCAUAUUUGGUGUGGGCAGUUCAUUCUGUCCGUGCCGGAGCUAACGCGUUAAAUAUGCCGCCUGGGGAGUACAGUCGCAAGGCUGAAACUCAAAGGAAUUGACGGGGGCCCGCACAAGCGGUGGAGCAUGUGGUUCAAUUCGACGCAACGCGAAGAACCUUACCUGGGCUCGAACGGCUGACCAACGGCGGUGGAAACAUCGCUACCCCGCAAGGGGGUUCAGUCGAGGUGCUGCAUGGCUGUCGUCAGCUCGUGUCGUGAGAUGUUGGGUUAAGUCCCGCAACGAGCGCAACCCUUGUCCUGUGUUGCCAUGUCGAAAGACGGAACUCGCAGGAGACCGCCAGGGAUAACCUGGAGGAAGGUGGGGAUGACGUCAAGUCCUCAUGGCCUUUAUGUCCAGGGCUACACACGUGCUACAAUGGACGGUACAAAGCGCAGCAAACCCGCGAGGGGGAGCCAAUCGCAAAAAACCGUUCUCAGUUCGGAUUGCAGGCUGCAACUCGCCUGCAUGAAGCUGGAAUCGCUAGUAAUGGCAGAUCAGCACGCUGCCGUGAAUACGUUCCCGGGCCUUGUACACACCGCCCGUCACAUCACGAAAGUGGGUNNNCUAGAAGUCUGCGCGCUGACCCGCAANGGA